UGGCCAGACUCCUACGGGAGGCAGCAGUGGGGAAUAUUGCACAAUGGGGGAAACCCUGAUGCAGCGACGCCGCGUGAAGGACGAAGUAUUUCGGUACGUAAACUUCUAUCAGCAGGGAAGAAAAUGACGGUACCUGACCAAGAAGCCCCGGCUAACUACGUGCCAGCAGCCGCGGUAAUACGUAGGGGGCAAGCGUUAUCCGGAUUUACUGGGUGUAAAGGGAGCGUAGACGGCCAUGCAAGUCUGAUGUGAAAACCCGGGGCUCAACCCCGGGACUGCAUUGGAAACUGUGCGGCUGGAGUGUCGGAGAGGCAAGUGGAAUUCCUAGUGUAGCGGUGAAAUGCGUAGAUAUCAGGAGGAACACCGGCGGCGAAGGCGGCCUGCUGGACCGCGACUGACGUUGAGGCUCGAAAGCGUGGGGAGCGAACAGGAUUAGAUACCCCGGUA
rnacentral:rRNA from 1 species